rnacentral:rRNA from 1 species
UACGAAGGUGGCAAGCGUUACUCGGAUUUACUAGGCGUAAAGGGCAGGUAGGUGGUUUGAUAAGUCUGUUGUGGAAGCUUCCGGCUUAACUGGGAGAGGUCAACAGAAACUAUCAGGCUUGAGUAUGGGAGAGGGUACUGGAAUUCCCGGUGUAGCGGUGAAAUGCGCAGAGAUCGGGAGGAACACCAAUGGCGAAAGCAGGUACCUGGACCAUUACUGACACUCAGCUACGAAAGCUAGGGGAGCAAACAGG